CUGGAACUGACAGCUCUUCAACUCUCGGAAAACGUGUUGUUUCUCCAACCUUGUGUUCUUUUGACUGGCGAUGGGUGCCAACCCUCUUUUCGUGGGAUGGACGACGAGGCAGAGAGGCUGACCGUCGGUGUAUUUUGUGUGUGUGUGUCUUUCAACUGGCGCAGGACAACAAAUUCAAUGCGAAUUCAACAAACUAUCUGCUUUAACUCAUUACACCGGAGCUGCUUCAAUUCUUCUUUUCUGCAAAUAGCACGGUCCUAACCACAGAGAGACUGAGACGCAGAAGCUGAUCUUAAACAAAGAGUGUUUUCCCCAAUACCUGGCAAUGGAGGUUCCUAUAAGAUAACAACAGAUUGUACACCUGUCACAUGAAGACAUGGGAAUACUAAAAGUUUUAACGGACAAAUGUACGUAUCGACGACCUAAAAGUACAUCACAGACUUGAACUAUCUGCGCACGUCGAUGUUUGCAGCCUUUGGGUCUCAGGAAUG
rnacentral:lncRNA from 1 species